UACCUUCAUCGUAGCGUAGCUUUAAUACUAAUACUAACAACGAACAGUACUACUACUGUAAUAUCAUCGUGCCUGCUGUUCUUAUACUCUCUACUAUCAAUAUGCGUUACCACGCACACGAAGAAAUAUUCAUAUGUGUGAUACAAGUCGUACGUGGAUCGACGGCAGGCACACACCGUGAAUAUACAGAACAUAGAUACACAACGGACCGAUAGAGAGCGUGCGAAAAGAGUGAGUGAGAUAGAUUAUUAUAAGCGAGCAAGGGAGACGGAAGAAGAGAGAGCAAGUAAGACCAAUGUUGGCCCCAACAGCCUCUCACUAGACAGUAUUACUUUCAACCGUUUAGCGGGGCCAAUGCUACCCGGCGCGGAGUAGUCAGUCAGCCGAGCAGUCAGAGUCAGCCGUCCGCGAAUACUGAGAGGACGCUCUCUCUUCGUUCAUAAGUAUCAUCAUCAACGAUCAUUCACGCGACGAUUUUUUAAAUGUGUCAUUAUUGUCCUCGAAACUUCUGUUGCUGCUGUUGCUCCUGUCGUUACUAUCAUUAUUAAUGUCGUCAUGAAAAUUUUGCUAAUAGUUCGUCGUUGCCAUUGUACCAUCAGUACAUCUGUGAUAGACUGUGAAGCAUAUGAAUAGCAUAAUCAGUGAAUAUAAAUAAAGUUUAUAGACGUGUGUGAGAUAAAAAAAAACAAAACCGCAAGCAAAUAAACUUUGUAGGACAAAAAGAAAAAAACAAAAAUAAGGAAAAAAGUACAUAACUUUUGUGUGUAUAAAUGUUAUAUAAUUGUCAAUAUUUAUUUAGAAUUAACGUGAUAUCGAAAUAAUUUCAAGAGACGCUGUUCAAUAAAGUUGUGCUGUUGCUGCCACAAGGACACAAUACCGGUGCCGACCACGAGCAGUGGAGUUUUACCCUCUCUCACAUCCGAGUCGCACGCGCGUGCAACACUCUCUGGUGGGUUCUGCACAUUCAGCUUGAGUCGUGAAGCGUGUUCUCGCUUGUUUUGUCGUUGUUAUGACGAGGUGAUGAAUAGACGAAAGCGUUGCAGUGUCGAGCAACGUAGUGAUCGUGCUCGUCGUCCUGAUGGACGAUGACAAUAAACGUAGACAGUUUUCGUGGACGCAGAGAAAUGUGCAUGUUGUGAUUUAGUGUUUUCUUUAUAAUAUUCAAUUUACCUCGAAAAGGAUUGGAUUAUACCAUAAAUAAAGUGUAUCAACUAAGGAUAAUGCAUCUCUGUAUCAUUUUUUAGUAUCUCGGUUUUUAUUGAAACGUCUGUAAUACGCGACACGCGUUUGUCGUUUUCAUCAAACCUAGUUUC